rnacentral:rRNA from 1 species
UACGUAGGGUGCAAGCGUUAAUCGGAAUUACUGGGCGUAAAGCGUGCGCAGGCGGUUGUGUAAGACAGAUGUGAAAUCCCCGGGCUCAACCUGGGAACUGCAUUUGUGACUGCACAGCUGGAGUGCGGCAGAGGGGGAUGGAAUUCCGCGUGUAGCAGUGAAAUGCGUAGAUAUGCGGAGGAACACCGAUGGCGAAGGCAAUCCCCUGGGCCUGCACUGACGCUCAUGCACGAAAGCGUGGGGAG